rnacentral:rRNA from 1 species
UACAGAGGGCGCAAGCGUUGUUCGGAUUCAUUGGGCGUAAAGGGUGUGUAGGUGGCGCCGUAAGUCGGGUGUGAAAUUUCGGAGCUUAACUCCGAAACUGCAUUCGAUACUGCGGUGCUUGAGGACUGGAGAGGAGACUGGAAUUCAUGGUGUAGCAGUGAAAUGCGUAGAGAUCAUGAGGAAGACCAGUGGCGAAGGCGGGUCUCUGGACAGUUCCUGACACUGAGACACGAAGGCCAGGGGAGCAAACGGG